rnacentral:rRNA from 1 species
AUUGAACGCUGGCGGCAGGCCUAACACAUGCAAGUCGAACGAGUGGCGGACGGGUGAGUAAUGUCUGGGAAACUGCCCGAUGGAGGGGGAUAACUACUGGAAACGGUAGCUAAUACCGCAUACCAUCGGAUGUGCCCAUAUGGGAUUAGCUUGUAGGUUAGGUAACGGCUUACCUAGGCGAAGAUCCCUAGCUGGUCUGAGAGGAUGACCAGCCACACUGGGACUGAGACACGGGCCAGACUCCUACGGGAGGCAGCAGUGGGGAAUAUUGCACAAGGGGCGCAAGCCUGAUGCAGCCAUGCCGCGGGUAUGAAGAAGGCCUUAGGGUUGUAAAGUACUUUCAGUGGGGAGGCGUUACCCGCAGAAGAAGCACCGGCUAACUCCGUGCCAGCAGCCGCGGUAAUAC